rnacentral:lncRNA from 1 species
CGUGUCUGAGACCUACACCACAGCUCACGGCAAUGCUGGAUCCUUAACCCACUGAGCAAGGCCAGGGAUUGAACCCGCAACCUCAUGGUUACUAGUCGGGUUUGUUAACCACUGAGCCACGAUGGGAACUCCUGCAUAAUUUUUUAAUAGUUCAUUUACAACAUAUUAGUUCAUGUGUACAAGAUAGUGAUUCAAUAUUUUUAUAGAUUAUAAUCUAGUUACAGGUAUUUUAAAAUAUUGUUUAUAUUACCUGUGCUGUAUAAUAUAUCCCUGUAUCUUAUUUAUUUUAUAAUAGCAGUUUGUCCCUAGUAAUCUCAUCCCCCUAUUUUGUUCUUCCCCCAAACCUUCUCUCCACUGGUAACCACUAGUUUGUUCUCUAUAUCUGUGAGGCUGUUUCUGUUUCAUAUGCAUCACUUUGGAUGAGACAUGGGGGCCCAUAUCCCCUCCCCUUUUCUGCCUGGAAGUGCUUAUGGAGCUCGGAGAAUGACAUGAAGUUGGAUUGUUUAUCACUGUGCUGAAAAAUGGAAGGAUGGCAUCACUACAGGAGCAGAUGGCACUGUAUGUUUGGCAUAAUUUUCUCAGACAAACUAGGACUAGGGCUGUGAAUGCUGGCAUUUGCCUGCUAUAUAGUCAUCUACGUCAAAACAUAACAAUGAAAAUAAGGGACUUUGUGGAAAAGGCAUUGAGGUUUUAAAUUAUGUGCAUUUAAGUGCCAUAGGCUCCUGUUGUAUGCAUACAACUUGGUUGAACUUCUGACAUUCUUCAUUAAGCAGAAUUUUAUAUAUGACCAGGCUUUUUCGUGUUUAUCUUCCUUUGUAUUUCCACAAAUGUUCUCAGGUAGUGCUAUAUUAGAAAAUUGCUUUUAAGCAUGUAGAGUAUGUUUGAAACAAAUAGAAAUCGAAAUGAUGGCAUAAAGAAUAAGAAUGUGUUUUAAAUUCUGAGAACCAAGAAAUAUCUGAAAGAAAAAUAUGCGGUGAUGAAGGGAUCAUUAAUCUUUGUUUUACAAAACUCAAAUUAAGGUUAUACUACUUACUUACUGGGUGAUUUUAGACAAUUCAAACAUAAUAAACUUAUUGUUUUUCUCACUGAGUAAAUGAAGAGUUUGGAUAGGGUGAUUGCUAAGAUUUUUUUCUAAUUCUAAUUUUAUUUGAUUUGCUCUUUCUAUGCAAACUGAUGCAGCAGUAAUAUAGGCCACCCAUUUACUUUUUGGCCUAUUCAUGUGCUUUUUUAAUUUUUAAUUAAUUUAUUUUUAAAGAACAAUGGAGAGAAAGGAGAGAGAACACAAUGCAAAUGGCCUCAGGACUCAGGAUGCAUUUUAUUUCUGAAGUACAUACCACUUUUUCUUCCCUUUCUUCCUCUUUCCUCCCUUAGAAUCGAUACUUCUGUGCCUCACAUUUUUUUUUUUGUCUUUUUGUCUUUUUAGGGCUGCACCCACAGCAUAUGGAGGUUCCCAGGCCAAGGGUCAAAUUGGAACUACAGCUGCCAGCCUAGGCCAGAGCCACAGCAACGUGGGAUCCAAGCUGCCUGUGCGACCUACACCACAGCUCAUGACAACGCCGGAUUCUUAACCCACUGAGCAAGGCCAGGGAUUGAACCCGCAUCCUCAUGGAUGGUAGUUGGGUUCGCUAACCACUGAGCCACACUGGGAACUCCAUGUGCCUCAAUUUUUAUUUCCUUUGAAGAAAUAGACAACUCCCAAGAAAAUGGCUCUAGUUUCUUAUGUGUUUGAAUUAACAAAUUCAUGUAUCCAUUCUUUUAGUAAACUCUGUUAUAGGCAAGUACUAGGCGCGAAGCAUACUGCAUCUAUGAACCUGUAUACAAAACAGAAUCAGACUCACAGACGUAGAGAAUAGGCUUGUGGUUGCCAAGGACAGGGGAGGAAGUGGGAUGGAUGGGGAUUUUGAGGUUGGUAGAUAGAAACUAUUACAUUUAGAAUGGAUAAGCAAUGAGGUCCUACUGUGUAGCACAAGGAACUAUAUCCAGUCUCUUGGGAAAGAACAUGAUGGAAGACAGUAUGAAAAAAGGAAUGUGUGUGUGUGGGUGUGACACACACAUGUAUAUUGACUGGGUCACUAUGCUGUACAGCAGAAACUGGCACAACACUAAAUCAACAUGCUUUAAUAAUAAUGAUAAUAAAUACAGAGGACAGAACCAAUUUUACUAAGAAGAUAUGGGAAAAAUGUCACAAAUGAGGUUACAUUGGAGUUUCUUUUUAGAGAAAUUGUUAUAAUUUCUCCAGUGAGGAAAGAAAAAAAUGCUUUAUGCAGAGGGAACAGUGUAUACUAGAACUAAGGGUCAUAAAAAGGUCUGACAUGUUUGGAGAAAACUGAGAAAUUUUAUAUGGCCUGAAUGCAGGGUAUAGAUGAAAAGGGUAGGAAUUAAAGACUAAGAGAAAAAUGUGGGCCAGAUUUUGAAGGCUUUGUAUCCCUGU